GGUUGGGAAGUAGGACAGUCACAUCCAAUUUAAAGCUUCAUAUCAAUGCUGACUUAGUUUUCAAGGGCCCAUCAAAUAUGAUGGCAAGAACACGAUUUACAGUAGCAUUUCGUGUUCAGAAGGUCAACAUUAACAAUCCCAACCACUUUUCCUUUUCUCUUAUUCCAAAUAAAAAAAAUUGUGAUUGCCUAAUGUUUUCAUGUUUCCGUGCAGAACAUCAUUGAAGUUCCAUUGAGUUACCAUAGUCAAUGGAGGCCAUCUUACCCAACUUAUGUUUUAUUUGACUACAAUGGAACCAAGCAUUUUAUUAGGGUGCGCAAAUGUGGCACUCGAUGCUUUUUUGCUGAUGGGCUGAAAGAGUUUAGAAGAACCCAUGACAUUAAUGACAGUGUCAUUAUCCAAUUUUUUGCAGCCUCUAAAGAUACUUCUUUGGAAGUCGGCAUCAUGGGACCUAUCCUUAGACAGACAUGUCGAAGGUUGGUUAUUACAACCAGAAGGCACAUCUUUACCGCUGAUGUCACCCAAGACAUGAUCGAACAUACCAACCCUUUGGUUCUUCCAGCAGCAGCUUUAAAUUUUUUGUUUGGAUAAAAAAAAAUUGUUCCUGUUCAGCGUCCAAAUGGCACACGAAACCAAUGGCAGAUCACCGUGCACAAUGGUCUGCCAUCUGUUGCAGAUCCAUGAUUUCAAUACCUCUGUGAAAAUAAUUUAAUGGUAGGAGAUGAAGUCAUGUUCUUCUUUAGGUUUGACAAACAUGUCUGGGAGGUCAUAUUUAGGAAACAAGUUAUGUGGGAUGAAGACCUCCCGGUUUGAAUCACCAUGCCUAAAGUUCAUGACUUUUUUUGUUUCAAUUUUAUUUUAUUUAUAUUUUCAUUAAUGUUGUUAAUCCAAUACCUUAGGGUAUUAAACAAUUUCUUUAAUUUUCUGCUUCACAAUUAAUCACUAUCAAUUUAUUA